rnacentral:rRNA from 1 species
AGUUUGAUCCUGGCUCAGAACGAACGCUGGCGGCAUGCCUAACACAUGCAAGUCGAACGAGAUCUUCGGAUCUAGUGGCGCACGGGUGCGUAACGCGUGGGAAUCUGCCCUUUGCUUCGGAAUAACAGUGAGAAAUUACUGCUAAUACCGGAUGAUGUCUUCGGACCAAAGAUUUAUCGGGGUAUGAUGAGCCCGCGUUGGAUUAGCUAGUUGGUGGGGUAAAGGCCUACCAAGGCGACGAUCCAUAGCUGGUCUGAGAGGAUGAUCAGCCACAUUGGGACUGAGACACGGCCCAAACUCCUACGGGAGGCAGCAGUGGGGAAUAUUGGACAAUGGGCGCAAGCCUGAUCCAGCCAUGCCGCGUGAGUGAUGAAGGCCUUAGGGUUGUAAAGCUCUUUCACCGGUGAAGAUAAUGACGGUAACCGGAGAAGAAGCCCCGGCUAACUUCGUGCCAGCAGCCGCGGUAA